rnacentral:tRNA from 1 species
GCGCGCGUGGCCUAACGGUUAUGGCGCUUGCCUCUUACGCAGAAGGCCAGGGUUCGAUUCCUGGCAGCGGCU